UACGGAGGGGGGCAAGCGUUGUCCGGAUUUACUGGGCGUAAAGGGCGUGCAGGCGGUUUGUUAAGUCUAGGGUGAAAGCUCCCGGCUCAACUGGGAGAGGUCCUUGGAUACUGGCAAACUUGAGGGAGGCAGAGGAGAGUGGAAUUCCCGGUGUAGUGGUGAUAUGCGUAGAUAUCGGGAGGAACACCAGUGGCGAAGGCGGCUCUCUGGACCGUAACUGACGCUGAGACACGAAAGCGUGGGUAGCAAACAGG
rnacentral:rRNA from 1 species